GACGAACGCUGGCGGCGUGCCUAAUACAUGCAAGUAGAACGCUGAAGGAGGAGCUUGCUUCUCUGGAUGAGUUGCGAACGGGUGAGUAACGCGUAGGUAACCUGCCUGGUAGCGGGGGAUAACUAUUGGAAACGAUAGCUAAUACCGCAUAAUAGUAGAUGUUGCAUGACAUUUGCUUAAAAGGUGCAAUUGCAUCACUACCAGAUGGACCUGCGUUGUAUUAGCUAGUUGGUGGGGUAACGGCUCACCAAGGCGACGAUACAUAGCCGACCUGAGAGGGUGAUCGGCCACACUGGGACUGAGACACGGCCCAGACUCCUACGGGAGGCAGCAGUAGGGAAUCUUCGGCAAUGGACGGAAGUCUGACCGAGCAACGCCGCGUGAGUGAAGAAGGUUUUCGGAUCGUAAAGCUCUGUUGUAAGAGAAGAACGAGUGUGAGAGUGGAAAGUUCACA
rnacentral:rRNA from 1 species